rnacentral:piRNA from 1 species
UCCCGGUGAAGGGGGUGGUAACUGGGUGU